UACGGGGGGAGCAAGCGUUGUUCGGAUUUACUGGGCGUAAAGGGCGCGUAGGCGGCCAGCACAAGUCAGUUGUGAAAUCUCCGGGCUUAACUCGGAAAGGUCAACUGAUACUGUGCGGCUAGAGUGCAGAAGGGGCAACUGGAAUUCUCGGUGUAGCGGUGAAAUGCGUAGAUAUCGAGAGGGACACCUGCGGCGAAGGCGGGUUGCUGGGCUGACACUGACGCUGAUGCGCGAAAGCCAGGGGAGCGAACGGG
rnacentral:rRNA from 1 species